rnacentral:rRNA from 1 species
CCUACGGGGAGCUGCAGUGAGGAAUCUUGGUCAAUGGACGCAAGUCUGAACCAGCCAUGCCGCGUGCAGGAAGACGGCUCUAUGAGUUGUAAACUGCUUUUGUACGAGGGUAAACGCAGAUACGCGUAUCUGUCUGAAAGUAUCGUACGAAUAAGGAUCGGCUAACUCCGUGCCAGCAGCCGCGGUAAUACGGAGGAUUCAAGCGUUAUCCGGAUUUAUUGGGUUUAAAGGGUGCGUAGGCGGUCGGAUAAGUUAGAGGUGAAAUCCCGAGGCUCAACUUCGGAAUUGCCUCUGAUACUGUUCGGCGAGAGAGUAGUUGCGGUAGGCGGAAUGUAUGGUGUAGCGGUGAAAUGCUUAGAGAUCAUACAGAACACCGAUUGCGAAGGCAGCUUACCAAGCUACUUCUGACGUUGAGGCACGAAAGCGUGGGGAGCAAACAGGAUUAGAUACCCUAGUAGUC